CAUCCAUUUCCUGUGAAAUUUGCACCAAAAUGAAGCUUACAACUUGAAGAACAUUUCCUUACCACUUUGAAGCUCCAAAAGUCACGGAAUCUUGCCAGAGAAAUUCCAUAAAAUCCGGCCAAGCUUGAAACUCACGAUCCCGACGUCCAAUUUCACCCAACGAACCACUCCGAGCUUCCUUAGAACCUCCUAAAGCUCCUAUGUCCUUAAAAUUCCCUAAAAAUCAACAUUUUACGUGAGCAUGAAUAGUACCUCAAAUCGGGGUUCGGAUUUCACGAGUUUUCAAAGGAGUUCUUACCUGAAAAUGGUACCAUUCAACUCGUAUGGUUCUCACGAACACAAUGGUGUGCUUCACACCCUCGAUCUUCACACUUUCGAUGGGUUUUGGGUGCAGUCCGUACAAGAGAGAAGAAAAGAGAGAGAGAGUGCGUCUGAGAGAGAGAGUACGGGAGGGUGAGAGAGAAAAAGUUUUGGGUGUGUGUGUGUGGUCCUCACACUAACACAUCACCAAACCCACAUCUACUACCAAACAAAAAGUUUAAGUCCCAAAUUAUCCAAAAUUAAGCUAGGGUAACCAAAUAAACCCUAAUAUUAAAUCCCAUGAAACGUUUAAGGGUAUUCUCGACAUUUCCCAUCCAUAAGAAUAAUUUUCCAGGACAGGCUGUGGUAGGUUACCCACGUGUUACCUGAGUGUAUACCUAUUAAGAACCUAUUAUUAACAGGUUCUUAACGGGUCACCCAAUAAUGACACGAUAAGUUAUCGUUGUUAGUACCAUAUUAUAUUGGGCCUCGUUACUUGGGCCUCCAGACAUUGAGCCCAUGAUUCAUGUAAAAAGGGAUGAGCCUUUACUCUAUAAAAGGGCCUCCUCACCCUCACAAUGAAAAAAGCCUGACAUCCCCAAAUAGAGACUCUCAUAUUCAGAGCAACCCUCUCACAAACUCUCUCUUUCUUUGGGGGACUCCCCCUCACACUUGUAAACCAAUCAUUCAUACAGAGAAAUAUAAUCAACAUCAGUGUGGAUGUAGCCUAAACAUUGGGGUGAACCACGAUACAUCUUGUGUUCUUUACAUUCUUGCAGAUUCAUGGUCGGAUUUACGUUGUU
rnacentral:lncRNA from 1 species